rnacentral:rRNA from 1 species
AUACGGAGGGUGCAAGCGUUAUUCGGAAUCACUGGGCGUAAAGGACGUGUAGGCGGGUUGGCAAGUCAGAUGUGAAAUCCUACAGCUUAACUGUAGAACUGCAUUUGAAACUGCUAACCUAGAGUAUGGGAGGGGGAGAUGGAAUUAGUGGUGUAGGGGUAAAAUCCGUAGAUAUCACUAGGAAUACCGGAAGCGAAGGCGAUCUCCUGGAACAUAACUGACGCUAAGGCGUGAAAGCGUGGGGAGCAAACAGGAUUAGAAACCCUAGUAGUCC